AGUGUUUCUGUGGCCAUCUUGAACAGAUCGCAAGCUAAAUCAUCCAUCUUAGGAGGUACAGACUACAGGGGGCCGUGGCUUCCUCUUAACCGCGGCAGCUGCUGAUAAAUACUGUACUAUUAACAGUGAGGCCCGGCGUAAUUUCCUUAUUAGAGGGCUUCUUUACGUCUCUUCAUCCCAAACUGGGAAAUGAUGCUGUUGACUGGGGCAAAGAAUAAUGGGAGAAAAACAGCUGGGUCCUAAAUAACAGAGGGAAACCAACUUUCAAUAAAGUAUUCAACAACUAA
rnacentral:lncRNA from 10 species